rnacentral:lncRNA from 1 species
UUUCAAUCUACAUAUUAUGCAGCCAGUUUGCCUAUAGUUUGAAGUUGAUGAUCCCCAUUGUCCUCUCUCACAGGUAAAGUGUGGAUCUAAGAUAUAUAAUUUUAUUCUAUUCAAUUGAAUUCAUUAUUUUCAUUUCAAAAUAUGUAUAUUUUUUUUGUGCAAAUAUAAGAUCAUGAUCUUUACAUUUAUUUUCGCUUUAAAUUUUAGAUUUAUCUCUAUAAGGCUAUAAGCAAACACACAUAGGCACAUAGACAUAGUUGUUUUGUAGCAGGUGAUCAACUCCGCAAUUUAGGCUUUGGGUCCUUUUUCUAUUUGUCAAAUUGAAUCAGGUGAGGAUUGUCCAAGCAUUAUAACGAGUUCAAGUUUUUUGUUUUUCAUCAAUGUGGGAUUCGUUUCAUUUAUUACUUUUGAUGUGUUUUGUGAUAGUAAUAGUGGUUGUUUAUCAUUUAAAAAAAAACAAAUUUGUGAUAUUCUUUUGUGAAGAAUACAACUUUAGUCUUUUAUCUUUCACCAAAUUCGUUGAAAAAUUCGGUGUGAAAAUAUGACUAAUUAAGUGAAGAAGAAGAAGAAGAAAAGAACUAUUUUUAUAUUAGAAUAAAACAAAGUUAGGUUUUUCACCUUUUAAUACAUUAGUUGUGGAAAGAUGUUUUAAAUGGACUUUGCUUGUAGAGAGUUGCAAAGAAUAUACCACCAAAGAUAUGAUAUUACGAACGAGAUUGUUUUUUCCUUAAUUAAAAUUUAGAGGUUUUGAGUUUGAGUUUUGGAUAUGAAUUUUUUUUUAAUAGGGAGCGCUUCUCUCCGAAUGAGCUAGGCCCUAUGUAGUACGGAUUCAGAAUAGUCAAAUUUUAAUGUGAAUAUAGAUCGCCCAAAAUAUAUAUUAUAUAUGUUGUUUGAUUUAAGGCUUUCCUAAUUAUCUCUAUUGCACUUUUAUGUAAUUUGCAUGAGAGAUGAUCUUCCAUGAUUUACCAAUCAAACCCCUUUUCAUCAUUAACAAUAUUAGCUCCUCCUUUGAUCUUUUACCUACACUUGUGGGUCACAUUUUUGCAUGCAAAAACCCAUCCUACCAUGUGCCUUGGUUCCAUACCUUUUUUUGGCUAACCCACCUUUAAAUGACUUAAGAGGGUUGAAAGUUUAAUAUAUAUAUAUAAAUGUGCGCGUGCGCAUAAAAAAAUAAAUGUUCACUUAUAUAUGUAGCAUAAUUUCUUUAUAUUCAGUAUUAUUAAUUUUUUCGAUAAACAGUAUUCAAUUGAUCAUUAUUAGCUUUAUGUACUAUAUUAAAAAUGAUUUUUAGCGAUAAUUAAUUUGGGGUAGUAAUUUAAUUGCUGCUAAAUAUGUAAUGUUCUUUUAGAAGUAAUUAGUUGUCCCUAAAGCCUAUAAUAACAUUGGAUCAAAUGACAAUUAGUUAAUGCUGGUAAAUGUUUUAAUACUCUUUGUUAAUGUACAUAUUAUUGCCGCUAAAAACUAUUUUUGAUGUAGUAAUGCGGCUAAACCACUGCUUUGGAGCUAGUUUUGGCUAUUGUAGGUGUUAAAAAAGUUCUACGAGUAUAAUUUUAUACUAUAGAUAAAUCAUUUGGAGCGUAAAAUAGAGAAUGUCCUCUCCAAUCCACCUCCAUAUUACUCUCUAUUCUUCAUUUAUAGAGAUGUAAAUAGUAG